rnacentral:rRNA from 1 species
AAAAAACAGGGACAGCGGGGCCUUGCCGGUCUAAGCAAAAAGCCAGGCCAAUUCGUGCCGGAGUGCGGUAAAGUUAGGUGCCACCCUUUUCCGAAUUAUGGGCCUAAACGCCCCCAGGGGGUCCCUAAUUCAGUCUGAAAGUCCCGGUUAACCGGGAGGGUCCUGGAAACGGGGAACUGAUUGCCAAAGCGGAAAUGGAAUUCCAAGUUAGGCGGGAAACCCGAGGGAUUUGGAGGAACCCAGUGGCGAAGGCGACUUUUUGUCCGUAACUGAAAUGAGGCGCGAAAGCGUGGGGGCAAACAGGAUAGAUACCUGGUGGUCCACGCCGUAAACGAUGAGUGCUAAGUGUUAGAGGGUUUCCGCCCUUUAGUGCUGCAGCUAACGCAUUAAGCACUCCGCCUGGGGAGUACGGCCGCAAGGCUGAAACUCAAAGGAAUUGACGGGGGCCCGCACAAGCGGUGGAGCAUGUGGUUUAAUUCGAAGCAACGCGAAGAACCUUACCAGGUCUUGACAUCCUCUGACAACCCUAGAGAUAGGGCUUUCCCCUUCGGGGGACAGAGUGACAGGUGGUGCAUGGUUGUCGUAAGCUCGUGUCGUGAGAUGUUGGGUUAAGUCCCGCAACGAGCGCAACCCUUGAUCUUAGUUGCCAGCAUUCAGUUGGGCACUCUAAGGUGACUGCCGGUGACAAACCGGAGGAAGGUGGGGAUGACGUCAAAUCAUCAUGCCCCUUAUGACCUGGGCUACACACGUGCUACAAUGGAUGGUACAAAGGGCUGCAAACCUGCGAAGGUAAGCGAUUCCCAUAAAGCCAUUCUCAGUUCGGAUUGCAGGCUGCAACUUGCCUGCAUGAAGCCGGAAUCGCUUGUAAUCGCGGAUCAGCAUGCCGCGGUGAAUACGUUCCCGGGCCUGGUACACACCGCCCAUCACUUCACGAGAGUCUCUAAUAAUCUAAACCAUGUAGGCGUAUAAGUGUGUACCAAGCUAGCGUUAAGUUUGACCCU